ACAGCCAAUUAUGCAAAUAUAUAAAUAUACAAUAUACAAUUCACCAUGUCUUACUUUAAAUACACUUCUUAAAGGAUACAUUCUUAAAAUAUGGGUUUGACUUGGGUUUCACAGAUUUAUCAGUAAGCAGUGAAAACUUGUUUGCCACCAAGGGCUCGGUGGCAUACAAAUAAAACCCGAUACGCAAAUAGAGACAGAAAAAGUGAUACUCUGUUUCGCUCGCACUUAAGUAUUUCACGUUAAUGCCUUCUCUCUUUAGUUAUUAUUGUUAUUUUAGAAGUUCAUCUAGUUCUAUACUCUAUCUACGGUUAUUGCCUGUUUUUAGACCAUAAAUCGUAGAUGAAGAAAGAAAUAGUUUGUCUACUUUUAUUUUUAUCAUAGCUAAAAUAAUUUUUUUGACUUAAUGUUUUUUCACUUUUUGGCUAGAGCAUGCACGGUAUAAUUGUCAUAAAAAUGGUAAAAUGAUUUUAAGAAAAAUCACACUGACCUAAAUUGAACCAAAUACUUGAAAUUCUUACAUAUCAAAGCCAUGAUACUACAGAAUGCCUACGUUAAAGUUUUUUAAUUUUGCUAUAGAAACAUGAAAGGUGGAAGGGUGAAAAACCCAUGCAAAAUAUGUUACGAAACGGUCAAUAAGAAGAAAGGAAUGCAGUGCAAGGGUGCUUGUCAGAAAUGGGCGCAUUAUAAGUGCUUAGAUUUUAGUCCAGGUAAAAUAAAGGAUGUGAAAGAUGGCCAUGUUAAAAUAACCUGCCCGUGUCCCGAUUGUGAUGCACCUGACGCACAGAAGUGUUGUGCAGCUAAGAAAACAUGCACAUCUGCAUCUGGACCGUCUGCAAAGCCUAUACCCUACCCACCGCAAUAUGCACUUCCAUAUACCAGGGAUGCCAUGCCCGUGUCUCACACAUCUUGUGGGAUGAAAUCUGAUGAUGUGUCACUGACAUCCUCUGAUAUAACUUUAUCGCCAAGAACAACGACAGGUUCCACCUCCCCCCAAUUAUUUAUGGCUUGCCCGCCAAAUAAAACAUUUCGUUCGAAACAAACAUCUCCAAAAAUUUCGCCAGAACCCUCGCGUUGUGGACCUUGUUGUGCAAAGAAAAGAACACAUUCUACGUCCGCAUUGGAAUCGUCAUCUUCUGACAGUGGCAUUAAUGUAAAAUGUGUCCCUCGACGGGCAUCAUCAAGCGAUUCAAAGUUACCUACUGCGUCAAACCAAAAAGAGCUGAUUGUAAGCCUUGAUGAAAUGUGCAAAACUGUUGGAAGACUUUCAUGCCAGCUCAGAGAGCUGAUGUUUAAAAUGAUUGAAAGCAAUAAACUUUAAUAAUAAUUACAGGAAACCUUACUACUUAAA